rnacentral:rRNA from 1 species
GACGAACGCUGGCGGCGUGCUUAACACAUGCAAGUCGAACGGAAAGGCCCUGCUUUUGUGGGGUGCUCGAGUGGCGAACGGGUGAGUAACACGUGAGUAACCUGCCCUUGACUUUGGGAUAACUUCAGGAAACUGGGGCUAAUACCGGAUAGGAGCUCCUGCUGCAUGGUGGGGGUUGGAAAGUUUCGGCGGUUGGGGAUGGACUCGCGGCUUAUCAGCUUGUUGGUGGGGUAGUGGCUUACCAAGGCUUUGACGGGUAGCCGGCCUGAGAGGGUGACCGGCCACAUUGGGACUGAGAUACGGCCCAGACUCCUACGGGAGGCAGCAGUGGGGAAUAUCGCACAAUGGGCGGAAGCCUGAUGCAGCAACGCCGCGUGCGGGAUGACGGCCUUCGGGUUGUAAACCGCUUUCGCCUGUGAUGAAGCGUGAGUGACGGUAAUGGGUAAAGAAGCACCGGCUAACUACGUG